ensembl:lncRNA
CGUGUACCUCAUCUUUGCUGUUCACCAGACAGGAAAACUUCAGGAGGUGAAGGCGCACUGGGAGAAGCAUGCUAACAUCUGCCAUCAGUUUGAUCUAAAAGAAGAGAAACCCAUAGUUAACCCCAGCAGUGGACCAAUCCAGCUGUACUGAGGAAUGCUGCUUCAACCCAAUGUGAGACAGCAUUUUUAAGUUUGCCCAUCUAGGAGCUGGAAUUCCGGAAAGGCCCUGCAGGUGUCAGAAGGCCACACAUGCUUCCAUUCAAUGUCAGUCCCAGAAACUCUUCCCUGCCUGAUGUCUGGAGUGGGAUCCUCAGCUAUCCUGGGAGAUGAUGACGUUCCAGCAGGCAUCCAUGGGACUUUCACACUUCUUAUGACUGAAACACCUUCAGAAAUCCCAUCCUUAGCAUUCCUCAUUACCGUCUCAUUUCCAGAAGUGCUUAGCAGCUUUGCCUGGGCUUUACUGCUGGAUAUCACUUGGGUGAAAUCUUCUCAAUCUCCUCCCUUAAUGAUGGUAAGCACUGAGGGAGCUGUGCUGAGGACACUUAGAACCAGGGCUGACAAUUGUGGAUUACAUCUUUGAAACACCUGCCAAAAAACAUUGAGUAGAGAUGAAGGCUCAUGCUAUUCCAGCAUUCCCCUUUGUCAAGCAUUCAGUUCCCUGUUUGAUCUACAGGAUCCAAAUAAAUGAGUGUUUGCCUGUUUUGUCUGGUG